AUGGACGCGUUCACGGGCGCGGUGCGGGCCUUGCUGACCCGGGUUCCUCCCGCCGAGGGCGUGUGCGGGAGUAGUGCCCUCAAGGUCCUUUUCCUCAGCUUCUACACGUCUUCCCCUCACCUGAGCUCCAUUGGCCGCCUCGUCGAGGGCAUCGUGAGCUUGGGCCAGACUGAAUGCCUUGAGUUUUGCAUAUCCCCGGCACCCCCCGACCGGCGGGGCUGCGAGAUUGUGAUUGGGCAGGAGUUCAAGGCCUUCUCCCGCGCCUACCCAGUCGCCUUCUCGUGGCUCACCAGGCUUACGCUCGAAUAUCAUGCUUUUGGAAAUUCAGGCAUCACUGACCUCAUUAGCACUUGCUGUAGGCUCAGGCACCUCAACCUGAGAUUCUGCACACUGGUUGAUUCGCAGUCCACACUCAAGAUCGAUGUGCCAUGCUCUGAGCUCCAGGAGCUUGAGUUCACCGGCUUUCGGUGCGCGCGGAUUGAGCUUGUCUCUGUCCCGAAGCUUAGGCAAGUGGUAUGCCAACAUUGGCCCUUCGAGAACCCUCCAGUGCGCUUCGGCUACGUUCCUGAGCUUCGCGGUGUAAUGCUCUAUUCUAAAGCCAAGGCAGGGCAAGAGCCAUUUGCGUUGAGCGACUGCCUGCCAAGGAGUGCCAGGAAUCUGUCAACACUGACUCUGUGUUUUGGGGACCAAAUGAUUUGGAUUCAGCCAGAACAUCCGAAGCAGCUCACUCCUAUAUUCAGAAACCUGGCCACUGUGUUUCUUUUCGGUAUCUUCAGUGAGUGUGAGCUGAGCUGGACACUGUUUAUCCUUGAAGCUGCACCUGCCCUACAGGAUUUUGCAUUAUCUCGACAUUCAUGUAUCAAGACGCCCGAGUACAGUGCCGAGAAGACCAACGUGGUGUGGGAGCCAUCCAAGGAUUUGAAGCACCUGAACUUAAAGGGGCUGCAUAUCUUCGGGUGCGAGGAUGAAGACAAGGUGAGAAACUAUAUAAGGCUUGUCAUGGAACGAGCUGUGGGGCUGUUGAUAAUCGAGCUGUAUGGUGAAAACCCAUGCAUUUACUGUGAUGCCACCAACCUUGAAAGAUCCAAGGCGGAAAAAGCUAGCAGGCAUCGGAUUAUGGAGCAACUCACACAUGGAUCAUCUUCAUCCGUGGAGAUAAUCAUCUGUUGA
rnacentral:rRNA from 1 species